rnacentral:tRNA from 1 species
UGCGGAUGUGGCGGAAUUGGCAGACGCGCCAGAUUUAGGUUCUGGUGUUUACGACGUGCAGGUUCAAGUCCUGUCAUCCGCAGC